UACGAAGGGGGCGAGCGUUGUUCGGAUUUACUGGGCGUAAAGGGCGCACAGGCGGCCAUUCAAGUCAGGCGUGAAAGCCCCGGGCUUAACCUGGGAGGUGCGCUUGGGACUGGGUGGCUAGAGAUCGGGAGAGGAGAGUGGAAUUCCCAGUGUAGAGGUGAAAUUCGUAGAUAUUGGGAAGAACACCGGUGGCGAAGGCGGCUCUCUGGACCGAUACUAACGCUGAGG
rnacentral:rRNA from 1 species